rnacentral:rRNA from 1 species
GAUCAUGGCUCAGGACGAACGCUGGCGGCGCGCCUAACACAUGCAAGUCGAACGAGAGAGAGGGAGCUUGCUUCCUCAAUCGAGUGGCGAACGGGUGAGUAACGCGUGAGGAACCUGCCUCAAAGAGAGGGACAACAGUUGGAAACGACUGCUAAUACCGCAUAAGCCCACAGCUCGGCAUCGAGCAGAGGGAAAAGGAGCAAUCCGCUUUGAGGUGGCCUCGCGUCCGAUUAG